UCGAGGAUCUUCGGCAAUGGGCGCAAGCCUGACCGAGCGACGCCGCGUGAGCGAUGAAGGCCUUCGGGUUGUAAAGCUCUGUCGGGGGGAAGAAAGGGAAACUUGAUCGACCCCCGGAGGAAGCACGGGCUAAGUUCGUGCCAGCAGCCGCGGUAAGACGAACCGUGCGAACGUUGUUCGGAAUCACUGGGCUUAAAGGGCGCGUAGGCGGGCGAUCAAGUCAGGGGUGAAAUCCCGCAGCUCAACUGCGGAAGUGCCUUUGAUACUGGUUGUCUCGAGGGAGAUAGGGGCAUGCGGAACUUCCGGUGGAGCGGUGAAAUGCGUAGAUAUCGGAAGGAACGCCGAUGGCGAAAGCAGCGUGCUGGAUCUCUUCUGACGCUGAGGCGCGAAAGCUAGGGGAGCAAACGGGAUUAGAUACCCCCGUAGUCC
rnacentral:rRNA from 1 species